GUUCAGACCCGAGGAACCGAGGACCCCAGCAGUGAGUCAGCUGCUUCAGAGUCUUGUCAGAGCUAGCCAGAGGUGAGUAGAAUAAACCUUAUGUUUUAAAUUAAUACAAGUUUCAACAUGAUUCAUGCAUCACGAAUGCCAUGUGAUAUUUUAGGUUGUUUGCAUUAGAAUCCACGAAUAUGUUGCAUUGCAUAUCUUAAUGUUAAUGUGGAUGGAUGUUGGAUGACCCAUUGGUCCUCAGUAUGAUGAGAUAUGAUAUGAUAUGGAAGUCCAGGUGUGGCCUGCACUACGCCCCUAGCACUAUGUAAGGGAAAGUCCGGAUGUGGCCUGCACUACGCCCCCGGCAUUAUUGGAUAUGUAUUACAUGUUAUGUUUAAGAAAAAGACCAGGUGUGGCCUGCACUACGCCCCUGGCAUGAUUGGAUUAUGAUGCGGGCCAUUGGCGACAAGUCCAUCCUUGAUGUGAUUUGUUUGUGCUGUGACGCAUUCCAUGAUAUCAUAUGUUUUAAAUACAAUAUUUUAUUAUUCUGCGCACUGGGCUCUAGUAGCUCACCCCUCUCCCUUAACCCCAGGAUUGCAGGUACAGGGUAGACCAGGAGGUCAGCAGGAGUAGAGUUUUGUUUAAUGUAAUAGCUAGCUGUGGACAUGAGCAUGUUGUAAUGUAAAUGUAUGGUAUAGAAAUCUAAUGUAAUAAUGCUUAUAAAAGUUUAGAUUUGUGCUUGACCAUAGUGUGUUGUUAAUCCCUUUCUAGUACAUGAUCUUAAUGUUUAAUGAUGUUUAUUGUAAACUAAACUUAAUUUAUGUUAUGUCACCCCAUUGGAGCAUUGAUGAGGACUCCAAGGUGGGGUUAAUGUUUAUGAUUAUGUAUAGUGCAUGCAUAGGUUGACUUUGGUAAAUGAAUGAAAAAAUGAAUGAAUGUAAGGAAAAGUUCAAAAUUUUUAUGUAUGUGUUGAUCAUGUAUGGGAUUAAACGGGUUUACAGAAUGAAUGUUAGGCUUGCUACGGGUCCCGGCGGCCUUAUGCCGACUUGGAUCCUAGCGCCGGUAGCAGUCCGGAUUUUUGGGUCGUUACAGAUUGGUAUCAGAGCCCUAGGUUCAUAUGGUCGGACCUAGAGUGUCGGGCUCAUAGAGUUAUAGAAGGUCAAGCACAAUAGGAAAACCAUGUCCACUAGGAUAGGAUGAAGAGUCCUGUCUUGAAUGAUGAUGUGAAAUGCCAUGACUAUAUGCAUGUGCAUUAAUGAUAUGCUAUGUAUGUGAUAUAUGUGAUGCGGGUUCAUGUGUUUGCACAUGAACCAUUUGAUGCUAAUGUUUAUGUGAUGUGUGCUGUUUUUCAGUAAACAGGAUGAGAGGAACUCGUCGAUCUACACGAUUGACUGGAGUACCACCCUAGGACGAGGGCACGGAUGCCCGUCCUCCUGCAUUGCCUAGGGCAAUGUCAAGUAGGUCCAGCAGAGAAAGAGCAGUAAAAGACCCUAGAAGGUCUUUGGAUCUGGGUAGAAGCAGAUCAGUGAGGGGAACAGUGCAAGGGGAUGUGUCCGAGGAUGUGGGGGAUCAGAUGGAUGUGGAUCAGAGGAGGGAUGGCAGUCUCGGAGUAAGUAUGUCGGAAGAGGGAAUGGGAGAGUCCCAAGGAGGCACUCAGGCCUCGGGAUUUGUUCAGCCACCUUACUACCCACCAUUUUCACAUAAUCCCGGGUAUUCGAUGGGAGGUACAUCGGAUUACCCCAGUUUCAACCCUUAUCACUCUCAGAUGCCAUACCCACCUUUCUACCCACCGUACCCACAGUACCCUAUGUAUUCACCCCCACCCUACCAUCCAGGUACAACAAACCCUACCCCAGGGGAUGCUGCACCUCCUCCACCACCAGCAGCACCUACUGUCCCAGAAACCAAAAUGCCUAAACCUAGCUCAUCUGGGGGGAGCAAGGUCAAGAUGAUCGAUUACAUGAAGCUGGGUGUUCCCCAGUUUGAAACCGGUGAUGACCCGUUUGUAUACCUUGAGAGGGUCAAGACAAUUACAGAUGAGAUAGGAGCUGAUGACAGUAGAGCCAUUCAGAUGGUUGGGUUCACACUAAAAUGCAAGAAGGCCCGAGAGUGGUUUAAGAACUAUGUGAACCCGAGGUUGGACAGCCUAUCAUGGGAGGAGUUUGCAGGAUGGGCUUUCCCUGACAGUUCCAGGGAGCUGAAAAUGAUUGAAUUUGAGCAGUUGAGGCAGACAGAUGAGAUGAGCGUGGAUGAGUAUAUAGACAGAUUCUUGGAGCUGUUGCCGUUUGCUGGCCAGAAUCUGGACACAGAUCAGAGGAAGUCAAGGAGGUAUAUCAUGAGGCUCCAUUCCAGGUAUUCCUCCUUGAUUUAGUCAGCAGAGAGGGAGAGUUUCCAUGCCAUAGUGGAUAUGGCUCGGAGGAUGGAGGCUAGUGCUAUCAUCGAAGGGAAAGUCAAACAGUCAGUGGCACAGCCUUCUGGUUCUAAGACCCCAGGUGGGGGAAGGAUGGACCCUUCUUCUCUGAGUUCAGGCAGUAAGAAGUGGGACAGAGACCCCAGGAAGUCAAAGAAGAACAAGUUCUGGAAUAAGAUCAAGUCAGGUCUGGGAUUAGGAAGUGGCUCGAGCUCGGGUGCAGAUAAUGCAGCAUGUAUAAAGUGUGGGAAGCCGCACAAGGGAGUAUGUCUGGUUGGGACCACAGCCUACUUCAGAUGUGGGCAGGAGGGACACAUGGCUCGGGAGUGUCCUAGAGCAGCUUUUAUGGCACAGUCUCAGCAGACAGCUUCAGGUAGUGUGGCUCAGCCAGCAGCUCCAGCCACGACUCAGGCUAGUGGCAGAGGCAGAGGAAGAGGGGUAGCCUCUUCUUCAGCGGGUUUCAGGGGUGAGGGCCCGUCAGCUCCAGCACGGAUCUUCACCAUGACUCAGCAGGAGGCAAACACAUCCAACACCGUGGUGUCAGGUAAUCUCAUCAUUGGUUGUUCUGAUGUGUAUGCAUUAAUGGACCCUGGUGCAUCUCAUUCUUUCAUUGCUCCGAGGGCCGUCGAGAGGUUGGGAUUGAUGGUCUCUGGGUUAGAGUGUCCCCUAUGGGUCAGUGGACCCAAGUGUGACUCGUCAGUGGCAGAGUCAGUCUGCCAGUGUAGUCCAGUUUUUGUGGAGGGAAGAUGCUUGUCUGCCGACCUUGUGGUUCUAGAUUUGACAGAUUUUGACGUCAUUCUAGGGAUGGAUUGGCUAUCUACCCAUGGUGCUACCUUGGAUUGCAGAGACAAGGUAGUCAGGUUCAGAUGUUAGGAUGGGUCAGAGGUUGUCUUCAGAGGAGACAGUGGGAGUACACCUAGAGGUUUGAUAUCAGCCCUUCAGGCUCGUAGGCUGCUCAGGAGAGGUUGUCAGGGUUUUCUAGCUCAUGUGAGAGAGCUGGAUAGUCAUGUCAGAGAGCCCGCCUCAGUGCCCGUGGUUAGUGAGUUUUUAGAUGUGUUCCCAGACGAGCUGCCAGGUUUACCACCUGCUAGGGAGAUAGAGUUUGAAAUUGAAUUGAUGCCUGGAACCAGACCAAUCUCUAUUCCUCCCUACAGGAUGGCACCAGUAGAAUUGAAGGAGCUUAAGGAGCAGUUGCAAGAGUUGGUAGAUAGAGGAUUCAUCCGACCGAGUACCUCACCUUGGAAGACUCAGGAGCUCUUUUCCUUAGUUCUCCAAGUUUAGGUCGUCUCUCUCUCGAUCUUCAAGAGGUAAGAGCCGAUCUUGAGCUUAUAGUAUGUUUUAAACAAGUUUUAAGUUGUUUCAUGGGGUAGAAAUGCAUGUUUAGGUUAGUUGAGUUUUGUUAGGUUUUAUGUGAUUAUAUGGACAAUGUGUGUUGGAUAUGCAUGUUUUGGUUGAGUUGGAUGCAUGAUUGGAAGUUUGGGAGGCUUUGGGAGCUUGUUGAGCCGAGUUUCUGCCCUUUGGGAGAAACCAGGUUCGGCAGCCGAAGGGACUUUUGGCCGCCGAACCUGUCUGUGAGGCAAGGCUUUCAGCUGCCGAAGCCUGCCCCCGAAGAUGGACUUUCGUCUCUGAAGGGCACUUUCGGCCGCCGAAGGUGCCGCCGAACCUGCAUGACUUUCGGCUCUGGAGGGACUUUCGGCUGCCGAACCUGCCGCCGAAAGUGCCCUAUUCAGCCUUCCUUUGCAUGUUUUCUAUGGAUGUUUUAAGGUGUUUUAGGGGGGUUUUUGGGGAGUAUUUUAGAGUCAUGAUCAUAGAUGUUUGGUCCCUCAUUUGAGUCCACCUGUGUAGGUUCAGACCCGAGGAACCAAGGACCCCAGCAGUGAGUCAGCUGCUUCAGAGUCUUGUCAGAGCUAGCCAGAGGUGAGUAGAAUAAACCUUAUGUUUUAAAUUAAUACAAGUUUCAACAUGAUUCAUGCAUCACGAAUGCCAUGUGAUAUUUUAGGUUGUUUGCAUUAGAAUCCACGAAUAUGUUGUAUUGCAUAUCUUAAUGUUAAUGUGGAUGGAUGUUGGAUGACCCAUUGGUCCUCAGUAUGAUGAGAUAUGAUAUGAUAUGGAAGUCCAGGUGUGGCCUGCACUACGCCCCUGGCACUAUGUAAGGGAAAGUCCGGGUGUGGCCUGCACUACGCCCCCGACAUUAUUGGAUAUGUAUGACAUGUUAUGUUUAAGGGAAAGACCAGGUGUGGCCUGCACUACGCCCCUGGCAUGAUUGGAUUAUGAUGAGGGCCAUUGGCGACAAGUCCAUCCUUGAUGUGAUUUGUUUGUGCUGUGACGCAUUCCAUGAUAUCAUAUGUUUUAAAUACAAUAUUUUAUUAUUCUGGUCACUGGACUCUAGUAGCUCACCCCUCUCCCUUAACCCCCAGGAUUGCAGGUACAGGGUAGACCAGGAGGUCAGCAGGAGUAGAGUUUUGUUUGAUGUAAUAGCUAGCUGUGGACAUGAGCAUGUUGUAAUGUAAAUGUAUGGUAUAGAAAUGUAAUGUAAUAAUGCUUAUGAAAGUUUAGAUUUGUGCUUGACCAUAGUGUGUUGUUAAUCCCU
rnacentral:lncRNA from 1 species